rnacentral:lncRNA from 1 species
UACAAAGGCAAUAAACACCUUAAUGCUUUCAUCUUUGUUUUCUCUAGGAAAUGACUUAAGAAGAAAACCCUCUAACAGUGAUCUCAGCAUUCAUACAGCAGUGAACUUCAGAUACAGUAAUUGCAUCGCUGAGAGCUAUGACGACUUUCCCAUGGGGGAGAAAUGACCUGGUAAUUCACGAAUGACAAAGUCAAAAGUAAGAGGUGCCUGGACACAUCAGGAAAGAUUCAGCUUCCUUCUGCUGCAGGAAUGCAACAGAUUAACCUAAUGCAUGGAUGGAACCUUGUUUGGGAGAGGAGAGAGAUGCUGGCAUCAGCCUGAUGUAUAUGAAAACAGGCAGGCUACAAAGUUUAAGGAAGUAUGAAAACUGUAUAUGAGACAGUUUUGUGAUUAAAAAGGAGAUAAUGAAAUGGACAGAAGUUGUCAAAAAAAUACUUCAUUUUACUUUGCUUACUGAAAUAAGUAUUGAUGGAUAAGUUCCCAGCUUCAUUGCAGUAUACAUUGGAUUAG